rnacentral:rRNA from 1 species
GACGAACGCUGGCGGCGUGCUUAACACAUGCAAGUCGAACGGAAAGGCCCUGCUUGCAGGGUAUUCGAGGGGCGAACGGGUGGGUAACACGUGGGUGCACCGCCCUCCACUUUGUGAUAAGCCUGGACGACUGGGUAUAUAACCGGAUAGGGGACAUGAUGAGUGGGUGGGUGGGAAAGAUUUUUGGGUGUUGGGUGAGCUAGCGGCCUAUCAGCGUGUUGGUGGGGUGAUGGGCUACCAAGGCGGCGACGGGUCGCCGGCCUGCGGGGGUGGACGGCCACACUGGGACUGAGGUGCGGCCCAGACGCCGACGGGAGGCAGCAGGGGGGAAUAUUGCACCAGGGGCGCCAGCCUGAUGCAGCGACGCCGCGGGGUGGAUGGCGGCCUUCUGGUUGUAAACUCCUUUCGCGAGGGACGAAGCUUUUUGUGACGGUACCUAGAUAAGAAGCACCGGCUAACUACGUG